rnacentral:rRNA from 1 species
UGGGGAAUAUUGGACAAUGGGGGCAACCCUGAUCCAGCCAUGCCGCGUGAGUGAUGAAGGCCUUCGGGUUGUAAAGCUCUUUUGGCGGGGACGAUGAUGACGGUACCCGCAGAAUAAGCCCCGGCUAACUUCGUGCCAGCAGCCGCGGUAAGACGAAGGGGGCUAGCGUUGUUCGGAAUUACUGGGCGUAAAGCGAGUGUAGGCGGUUGCCGUAGUCAGGUGUGAAAGCCUUGAGCUCAACUCAAGAAAUGCACUUGAUACUGGGUGACUAGAGGACCGGAGAGGAUAGUGGAAUUCCCAGUGUAGUGGUGAAAUACGUAGAGAUUGGGAAGAACACCAGUGGCGAAGGCGGCUAUCUGGACGGUUACUGACGCUAAGACUCGAAAGCGUGGGGAGCAAACAGGAUUAGAUACCCUGGUAGUCCACGCCGUAAACGAUGGGUGCUAGACGUUGGCGAGCUUGCUCGUCAGUGUCGCAGCUAACGCGUAAGCACCCCGCCUGGGGAGUACGGCCGCAA